CAUUGCCUGGCGUAGAAGGUGCUCGUUGAACAUUUGUUGGAUGAACAGAUGGGUGACUCUGGAGGGACAGAGUGCAGACCUAUGGAUGGAAAGCACGGAACCCAGGAGCCAGAAGUCACCCUUCAAAUGAACAAAAUGGUCCCUUUGAACCGUGGAAUAGGUGAACGGCCUUUUGGAAUAAAUACACACUCUUGCAAUGCAGCCAGCAAAACGAAACAAAUUGCAGCCAAAUAAGAAGUGAUUGGUUCAGUGGAGGUUCACCUGUCAAAUCGAGGUUGCCAGCCGGGAAAUUCUUACGCAUCCCCCUAAGCUGCUGUUAUAUAAGAAAAGAGCCUUUGACCCACAUUGAUACUUCUUCGCUAGUGAUAUCCUGGACAACAUGCCAAGGUAGGGGUGAACUGUGCCCAGUGCAGGCGGUGGCUUCCUCUGCGCGGGAUGCGGACCGAGACUCCUCAAGCAUCAGAGACGACAUCGCACUGGCAGGGCUGCGAGGAGAGGCGGAGGAUGGUCUGGCCAGUGGUCCAGGCGGUCAGUGCUGACGGCAGAGAAGAAUCGAGGUGGAGAAACACGAUGCAGUCUGAUGCGUUCUCCUUGGGAGGCUCUCUCUGGGGGCAGCUCAAGUGAGAACUAACGGAAACAGGAAACGCUGCAGCCUGGGGCCACCGGUCUCCUGCCUCUGUGUCUCAGCCCAGAGCGGGCGUCUGCAGUUGGACUGGGAUGCUUGCUGGCUGGUGCCAGGCCACAGAGAGCUGCCCCUGGCUGCUGGGUCUGGGGACCACAGCCCGCUGGUGGCGGCCGGCUGUUAGGUGUCCACACAGCAGGCGAAUCUCAGCCCAGGGGAAGAAAUAUCUGGUCCCCAGCAUGGCGGCGGGAUGCUAUAGCAUCAUGGAAGCUUUAGUGGCAUUCUCUUAUAACAUCAUCACCUAAGGACAAAUAGAUACUGGCUGUGAAGUGGUAUGGGGUCUGCUUUUCUAGAACCUCUGUGGAGAGGAGGGAGGAGUCUACACAUUAAUAGCAAAUAUUACACAUAAAUGCUACACAGAUGUAUUCCACCCUAUAUAUUAGUGAAGCUCAAAGCAUCCAGCAGCAUUUUCAUUAAUAUAUUUUAUUAUUAAA